AGGUUUUAGGGCCACGGCAACGGGUUAGUAAUGCAUAGGAAUUUUCCUCGAAGUCGUGAAUAAUCCGGAGAAAUCCGGAAUAAUACACGAUGUGCUCUACGGAGUAAAGAUUUAUCGCUUUGAGAGAAGCCUAUGUCCUAUCAGCUUGUUGGUGGUGUAAAGGACCACCAAGGCUAUGACGGGUAGGGGGUGUGAGAGCACGGCCCCCAACAUUGGGACUGAGACACUGCCCAAACUCCUACGGGAGGCUGCAGUCGAGAAUAUUCGUCAAUGCGCGAAAGCGUGAACGAGCGACGCCGCGUGCGGGAUGAAGGCCUUCGGGUUGUAAACCGCUUUUGUAAGGGAAGAAUUUCGAUGACGGUACCUUACGAAUAAGAGGUUACUAACUCUGUG
rnacentral:rRNA from 1 species